rnacentral:rRNA from 1 species
AACGAACGCUGGCGGCGUGGAUAAGACAUGCAAGUCGAACGGAGAUUCUUUAGAGCUUGCUUUAAAGGGUCUUAGUGGCGAACGGGUGAGUAACACGUGAGUUACCUGCCCCGAAGUGGGAGAUAGCCCGGAGAAAUUCGGAUUAAUACCCCAUGUGAUCGAAAGAUUAAAGGCGGCGCAAGCUGUCGCUUCGGGAUGGGCUCGCGGCCUAUCAGCUAGUUGGCGGGGUAACGGCCCACCAAGGCGAUGACGGGUAGCUGAUCUGAGAGGAUGAUCAGUCACACUGGAACUGAGACACGGUCCAGACACCUACGGGUGGCAGCAGUCGAGAAUCAUUCGCAAUGGGCGAAAGCCUGACGGUGCGACGCCGCGUGGAGGAUGAGGGCCCAAGGGUCGUAAACUCCUGUCAUCAGGGAGUAAAGACUCGUGUGGUAACUAACACGGGUCCUGAUAGUACCUGAAGAGGAAGGGACGGCAAACUUCGUGCCAGCAGCCGCAGUAA